rnacentral:piRNA from 1 species
UUUAGUUUUUAAGGUGAGUAUUUGGAAAUC